rnacentral:rRNA from 1 species
ACGAACGCUGGCGGCGUGCUUAACACAUGCAAGUCGAACGGAAAGGCCCUGCUUUUGUGGGGUGCUCGAGUGGCGAACGGGUGAGUAACACGUGAGUAACCUGCCCUUGACUUUGGGAUAACUUCAGGAAACUGGGGCUAAUACCGGAUAGGAGCUCCUGCUGCAUGGUGGGGGUUGGAAAGUUUCGGCGGUUGGGGAUAGACUCGCGGCUUAUCAGCUUGUUGGUGGGGUAGUGGCUUACCAAGGCUUUGACGGGUAGCCGGCCUGAGAGGGUGACCGGCCACAUUGGGACUGAGAUACGGCCCAGACUCCUACGGGAGGCAGCAGUGGGGAAUAUUGCACAAUGGGCGGAAGCCUGAUGCAGCAACGCCGCGUGCGGGAUGACGGCCUUCGGGUUGUAAACCGCUUUCGCCUGUGACGAAGCGUGAGUGACGGUAAUGGGUAAAGAAGCACCGGCUAACUACGUGCCAGCAGCCGCGGUGAUACGUAGGGUGCGAGCGUUGUCCGGAUUUAUUGGGCGUAAAGGGCUCGUAGGUGGUUGAUCGCGUCGGAAGUGUAAUCUUGGGGCUUAACCCUGAGCGUGCUUUCGAUACGGGUUGACUUGAGGAAGGUAGGGGAGAAUGGAAUUCCUGGUGGAGCGGUGGAAUGCGCAGAUAUCAGGAGGAACACCAGUGGCGAAGGCGGUUCUCUGGGCCUUUCCUGACGCUGAGGAGCGAAAGCGUGGGGAGCGAACAGGCUUAGAUACCCUGGUAGUCCACGCUGUAAACGGUGGGUACUAGGUGUGGGGUCCAUUCCACGGGUUCCGUGCCGUAGCUAACGCUUUAAGUACCCCGCCUGGGGAGUACGGCCGCAAGGCUAAAACUCAAAGGAAUUGACGGGGCCCCGCACAAGCGGCGGAGCAUGCGGAUUAAUUCGAUGCAACGCGUAGAACCUUACCUGGGUUUGACAUGGAUCGGGAGUGCUCAGAGAUGGGUGUGCCUCUUUUGGGGUCGGUUCACAGGUGGUGCAUGGCUGUCGUCAGCUCGUGUCGUGAGAUGUUGGGUUAAGUCCCGCAACGAGCGCAACCCUUGUUCACUGUUGCCAGCACGUUAUGGUGGGGACUCAGUGGAGACCGCCGGGGUCAACUCGGAGGAAGGUGGGGAUGGCGUCAAGUCAUCAUGCCCCUUAUGUCCAGGGCUUCACGCAUGCUACAAUGGCUGGUACAGAGAGUGGCGAGCCUGUGAGGGUGAGCGAAUCUCGGAAAGCCGGUCUCAGUUCGGAUUGGGGUCUGCAACUCGACCUCAUGAAGUCGGAGUCGCUAGUAAUCGCAGAUCAGCAACGCUGCGGUGAAUACGUUCCCGGGGCUUGUACACACCGCCCGUCAAGUCAUGAAAGUUGGUAACACCCGAAGCCGGUGGCCUAACCGUUGUGGGGGAGCCGUCGAAGGUGGGACUGGUGAUUAGGACU